CUGGUCUCAAAUCAGGUAGGACUACCCGCUGAACUUAAGCAUAUCAAUAAGCGGAGGAAAAGAAACUAACAAGGAUUCCUUUAGUAACGGCGAGUGAACCGGGAAAAGCUCAAAUUUGUAAUCUGGCUGUCUUCGAUAGUCCGAGUUGUAAUCUAUAGACGUGUUUUCCGUGCUGGAUCGUAUCUAAGUCCCUUGGAACAGGGUAUCAAAGAGGGUGACAAUCCCGUGCUUGAUACGACGACCAGUGCUCUGUGAUACACGUUCUACGAGUCGAGUUGUUUGGGAAUGCAGCUCAAAAUGGGUGGUAAAUUCCAUCUAAAGCUAAAUAUUGGCGAGAGACCGAUAGCGAACAAGUACCGUGAGGGAAAGAUGAAAAGCACUUUGGAAAGAGAGUUAAACAGUACGUGAAAUUGUUGAAAGGGAAACGAUUGAAGUCAGUCGUGUUCUUCAGAUUCAGCUGGUUCUUCCAGUCUACUUCUGUUGAACGGGUCAACAUCAGUUUUGUCCGGUGGAUAAAGGUAGUAGGAAUGUGACUCCCCCGGGAGUGUUAUAGCCUAUUAUUGCAUACACUGGGUGAGACUGAGGACUGCAGCUCGCCUUUUGGCCGGUCUUCGGACACGUUCGAGCUUAGGAUGUUGACAUAAUGGCUUUAAACGACCCGUCUUGAAACA
rnacentral:rRNA from 1 species